rnacentral:tmRNA from 1 species
GGGGACGUUACGGAUUCGACAGGGAUAGUUCGAGCUUGGAUUGCGAGUCGGGGGGAUCGGCCUCGUUACAAACGUCAAAGCCAAUAAUAACUGGCAAAACUAAUAACAACCUAGCUUUCGCUGCCUAAGAACAGUCGAUAGCUGAUCCUCCGUGCAUCGCCCAUGUGCUACGGUAAGGGUCUCAAAUUAAGUGGGAUACGAUUUUAAGUCUCCGUCUGGGGCUUAAAAGAAGAGCAUAAUCAGACUAGCUUUGCGAAAGCCUGUGUCGGGCCGCUGCAUAUGCGAAACCCUAAUACGAUGACUACGCUCGUAGAAGUCUAAGUGCCGUUAUUUCUGGACGUGGGUUCGACUCCCACCGUCUCCAUUA